rnacentral:rRNA from 1 species
GAUGAACGCUAGCUACAGGCUUAACACAUGCAAGUCGAGGGACCGGCGCACGGGAGAGUAACACGUAUCCAACCUGCCCUUUACUCGGGGAUAGCCUUUCGAAAGAAAGAUUAAUACCCGAUAUAAAGGAUGGGGAUGCGUUCCAUUAGGUUGUUGGUGAGGUAACGGCGAACCAAGCCUUCGAUGGAUAGGGGUUCUGAGAGGAAGCUCCCCCACAUUGGAACUUAGACACAGUCCAAACUCCUAAGGGAGGCAGGAGUGAGGAAUAUUGGUCAAGGAGCGCUAGCCUGAACCUGCCAAGUAGCGUGAAGGAUGAAGGCUUAUGGGUCGUAAACUUCUGAUAUAUAAGAAGAUGUAUUAGAUGAAUAAGGAUCGGCUAACUCCGUGCCAGCAGCCGCGGUAAUAC